rnacentral:lncRNA from 1 species
AGGUGUGAUCAAGAGUGGCUUUAGUUCUAAGACCGAUGGUGAUUCUAAAGAGGAAGCUAUUGGAGCAGGUAUUACAGAUAAAGGCUCAUAUUUCUCAGCCCAUGGAGGAGUGGUGCUAAAAUUGGGUGGCUCUAGUAAUGUGUGCAUAUUUUUAACAUAUCCAUCUAGAUCAAAAUCAUCCACUCUAAAAGGAUUCCAACAUAUA